GACGAACCGUGCGAACGUUAUUCGGAAUCACUGGGCUUAAAGCGCGUGUAGGCGGAUGGGGACGUCGGUCGCUGAAAGCCCCCGGCUCAACCGGGGAAGUGGCGCCGAAACGCCCCGUCUGGAGGGACGUAGGGGGACCUGGAACUUCCGGUGGAGCGGUGAAAUGCGUUGAGAUCGGAAGGAACGCCCGUGGCGAAAGCGAGGUCCUGGACGUCUGCUGACGCUGAGACGCGAAAGCUAGGGGAGCGAAUGGG
rnacentral:rRNA from 1 species